CCUACGGGCGGCAGCAGUGAGGAAUAUUGGUCAAUGGUCGGGAGACUGAACCAGUCAAGCCGCGUGAGGGAGGAAGGUACAGAGUAUCGUAAACCUCUUUUGUCAGGGAACAAAGACUGGGACGCGUCCCCGGAUGAGUGUACCUGAAGAAAAAGCAUCGGCUAACUCCGGGCCAGCAGCCGCGGUAAUACGGAGGAUGCGAGCGUUAACCGGAUUUAGUGGGGUUAAAGGGUGGGUAGGCGGGACGGUAAGUCCGCGGUUAAAGCCCAGGGGUUAAACCCGGCCCGCCCGUUGAAACUGGCAGUCUCGAGUUGGUGAGAGGUAGGCGGAAUGCGAGGUGUAGCGGUGAAAUGCAUAGAGAUCGCGCAGAACUCCGAUUGCGAAGGCAGCAUGCCGGCUCCACACUGACGCUGAGGCACGAAAGCGUGGGUAUCGAACAGGAUUAGAUACCCCGGUAGUC
rnacentral:rRNA from 1 species